CAAGGGUCGCCCAUGGAUGCAAUC
rnacentral:siRNA from 1 species